AAGAAUGCAAACUAAUAACCCAACAUCCAGCUAAAUACUUCAUCUGAAUGCCCUUUCCUCGGAGUGAUGACAUGCUAUAAUACGGUGUAGAGGAUCUAAUAUAUAAAGGUAGUAAUGGGAACGGAAAAUGAGAGAGCAGAUAUCAUCAGAAAAGUCUCUAUGUCUACAUAUGUUUCAAUAGCGUGUGAAUAAAUAAAGUCAGCAAACGAGAUAGCCUUCCUAGAUGAAUAAUGUAACACUCCAAUUCCACUGACAAGGUACUAUGAUGAAAUUAAAGUGAAACUGUAUUUUAUCAUUCUCAUCUCUAAAACUUUCAAAGUAAUAACCAACAAUAAUGUUCUAAGCCUCCAAAAGCAUAUAAAUAAAUUCUAAAAUAACAUAUCCUCUAAUAAAUAUCAUCCCAAAGCAAGCUAAAUUGUUCUUAAAUUAUCAACGUAACAUUAAUCCCCAAAAGAAAUAGAGUUCUUAUUCUUCUUCUUAAGACCAUGAGCUCACAUCAUCUCUCUGCAAAAAUUGUGGUAACGAGGGGUGAGCCGUCAACUCGGUAAGUAAAUUCAUGCACAAUACUAAAAAUCAUUAAAAUAUAAUUUAAUAAAACUUCUUAGAUAUACAUAAUAAUAAGAGAAAUACCUUUAUAAAUCAUCAUUUAGCAAAAAUAAAUCACAUCAUCAUAAAGCCAUUUAAAUCCUUUUAACAAAACAAUAGCAUUUGAAACACAUAAAACAUAUUUAGCUCAUGCCACAUAGUAUCACCUGUAGACCCGAUGAUCCAACCAUAUAACAUCAUUCAGGGUACUGUUUUUUGCAGGAAUCAUUAACAUUAACAUCAUAUGUACAAAAAAUCCGGCUAGCCUUCCAUAAUAUAACAUAAAAUAAUAUCACUACGGAUAAUGAGCCAAAACAUAUAAAAUCAUCCUUGAACUUUUAAUCAUUUGUAAACUUUCAUGAAUUACAUUUAAAUAAUUCAUUAUUAUUUCAAAGUAUUUGACUUAAAACCAUUUAAUAAAAUUUUAAAGAAUGAUUUUACUUAAAUAAAGUUAUGCUAUAAAUAAUUUUUAAGAAUGCUUUUAUUUAAUAAAAUAUUGUAAAAGACUAUACAAAUCAGUUUCAUAUACUUUUUCUUUCAACAUAAUACAAGGUAUUAUGUCAGAAACAUAUUACAAAAGGAAUUUUAUAUGUAAAUCUCCACACUGUCCAACAGUGAUAAAAACAUAGAUAGUUGAAUUAGAAAAUUUGAAUAUUUAAUAAAACUCAUAAAAAUUAGACCACUUGAUUUUACAAUA
rnacentral:lncRNA from 1 species